UACUCACUUGGCUCGGCUACAGCAACUCGGCCUUCAAUCCGAUCAUCUACAGCAUCUUUAACACAGAAUUCCGAGAAGCGUUCAAGAGAAUUCUCACAAAGGGUGCACGCGCCCGUGGAAAUCAACCGUCGACUAGCGAAUGCGGAGAAUUUCGAUCCGUGGUCGUACAAAAACGAAACGGGUCCAUGAUCGAAUGUAAUAUCAGUCCAAGAUCAAGCGCGGACAGUUGUCAAGUUGGUAUGAUGGCGCAAAGGCAUCGCGAUACUAUCGUGAGUGCGAUAUAAUUCGAUUCGAGCCUCUCCCUCGGACUUAUCGAUCUUCCUAUCGAACGGUAAUUGCGAUCCUACGGUAAUUAUGGUUCACGUGGUUUUCCAUCACGGUAUAUAUAUCGAUUCUAUAUAUAUAAAUCACUUUAUUAUAUAAGACGUAAAUAAAAUCGUGAUGGAAAUAUUAUCUCCUUCCUGUCGCCAGUUUUCUGCGUGGCAUACAACAUUCUUGGUACGAGUUUAUUCGAUUGAAUCGAAGAAUGUUACACGAACAUAUCCAUAGUAUAAUUUUUCAAGUCUGCUUAUGAUAAUGGUUAUGAUUGAACGAGAUUUACGUACAAACAUUUAAAAAAACGGCAAUUGCGACCGUCAUGAUCAAUUUCAACGACAAACUUUACCAUUUCAUCAUCUUGGGAAGAAUAUUUUUUUUAUCCACGGACGAUGAAAAGGGAAGAAAACUUGUCGAUAAUAAUAAAUAAAGGACGGUUAAGAGAUCAAUUUAUGAAAAGACAAUCAUCGGGAAGUAGUUCGAAACAUAUCCAUGAGACAUAAUCUGUUCUUAUAACAAAAAAGAAUAAAGAUGAAUUUAUCUAACAGGAUCGAACAGGAAGAUAUAAAUUUAAAAA